GGGGCUGUAGCUCAGCUGGGAGAGCGCUACACUGGCAGUGUAGAGGUCGGCGGUUCGAGCCCGCUCAGCUCCACCA
rnacentral:tRNA from 5 species